UUGCGUGCGAUUUACGAUGUGUUUUGCUAUUUUUGGAGCUAUAAUCUGCAAAUUAGCGGACUUUAGCGUGUUCUUUAUUUUCCGCCGUUGUCGUUCGAGCAGCGCCUGUUGUUCCCGCAGAAAUUUAGUUGAAUGAGUCAUCACAGUCCCAACGUAUAUCGCGCAUUGUUCACCAAGGCAAAGUCAACCAAGCAUUCUGUCAUGUUAUGUGGCUACGCGAAGGAUUCCGAAAAAGAAAAACAACAACAACAUGGCUAAUAGGAUGUUGCUGCCCAGGGAGUCCUGACCGAAGAGCCACCGAGCUCCAGUCCCCAGUAGCAGUCCUUGCCAGAGGAAGUCCGACAUCGUCAGGGUUCUUCAAGCAAAUUCCGGAGCAAUAUUGAUGUCAUGUUGUUUUCGUUACCGCAGAUAUGGUGGCUAAAAGGGGAGGUGACGCCAACGAGGAAUGAAAAGCGCGCCGUCAAUUCAUGCUCGGCAGCAGUGGCGCUGGCGCCGCGACUUCGAUCGGCUCGGCCUCCGGCAUGCGAAGGAACCUACGCUCCUUCAUCCCCAACGGGAGAGGGAGAAGGAGCACAGUGCCGCCUUAUGCGUCGAAGAUGAGCUUUGACUUGCGGAAACAAAACAAAAACAAAUGUAUCGGGUGACUCUAUCGGAACUGGCCUUAUCUUGGGUUGCAUUUUCUGUUUCCUUUUAAUCUUUUUCCAGGACGCGAGAGGCGGUAGUGUGCUCUUUCUCCCUCUCACAUUGUGGGUGAAAGAAAGACGCGCCUUCUAAGAAGCGCAAUGAACAAAAUAAAGAAAAAAAUGGCGUUCCUUCACGAAU